GCGAGUAUUCUCCUCCAAAACUCAAUUUUCCUGAAUUUCUGUUUUUCGGUAUGGGUGUUUUUUUUUUUUUUUUUUUUUUUUUGUAUUUGUGUUUAUUUAUUUAUUUAUCUUUUUUAUUUUGCAUGUUAUAGUUUUAUUAAGCUAAUGGGAAUAUACUUCUUUUCUUCAUUUUCUUCCUUUUAAAAAAAAUCAUUUUGCUUUUUUAUUUUUUUAAUUCUGUUUGUUUUAUUCAGCAAAAAUGCUUCUCUAAAACCCAGUUUUCUUUGAUUUCUGUUUUUGUUUUUAGUGGAAUUUAUUUAUUUUGGAUUUCUAUGUGAGUUUUUUUCCUUUGUUCUUCUUUUUUUUCAUCUUCUUCUUCGUCUUUUUGUUCAUUUUUCUUCUUUAUCUGUCGGUUUUAUUCAGCAAUAAUUCUCCUCCAAAACCCAAUUUUCUUGGAUUUCUGUUGUCUGGUAUUUUAGAAAUUCCUCUCCUUUUUUUUUGGAACGUUAAGAGUUUUAUUAAGCUGGUGGACAAAUGCUUAUUUUGUGCACAUUUUUUUUUUUCAUUUUUAUUCUUUUUGUUUAAUUAAGCAAUAUUUCUCAUCCAAAACGCAAUUUUUUGGAUAUCUGUUCUGUUGAAUUUUUU